rnacentral:rRNA from 1 species
UACGGAGGGUGCAAACGUUGCUCGGAAUCAUUGGGCGUAAAGCGCACGUAGGCGGCCCGACAAGUCGGGUGUGAAAUCCCUCGGCUUAACCGAGGAAGUGCAUUCGAAACUAUCGGGCUUGAAUACUGAAGAGGGUCUCGGAAUUCCCGGUGUAGAGGUGAAAUUCGUAGAUAUCGGGAGGAACACCAGUGGCGAAGGCGGAGACCUGGGCAGAUAUUGACGCUGAGGUGCGAAAGCGUGGGGAGCAAACAGG